UACCCAAUAGCUAGCUUAACAAUC
rnacentral:rRNA from 1 species